rfam:Psychromonas sp. CNPT3, complete genome.
CGUGUGGUAUUUUGUUGAGAGAAAUGCUUCUUUCAAGCAAGAUGGCGACACGGCCUAACGAGGU